GAUUAGUCAAACAUGGGAGAAAGGAUCUCAACUGAGUGUUCACGGUCAAUUACAGAUCGAACUCCUUGUUCUACUCUUGCCCCCCUUCUCACCACUGCGCUUGACGAGCCUAAA
rnacentral:sRNA from 1 species